GGGAAUGGCUUUAGCUGAGUGGUAGAGCAUCUGCUUUGCACGAGAAGGUCUCAGGUUCAAGCCCUGGCAUCUCCA